AUUAUUGUUUGCCACAAGAACACAUUAAUAUGCACAUUAGAUGCAAUGUAUGGGAACACCAACUUAUGGACAUUUUACGCAGAUAUUGCAUAAAGUAAAAUAGUAUAUCAAAUCAUUCUGUUAUAUCUUUCCUAACAUAGUUGGGAAUCAUCUUUGUACAAAGUUUGGUUAAAAAUAGACUGAAACCUAAAAACUGAUUGGUGAAUGAAAAAAAGAAAACAUUAUUUUUGCCUAUAAUUUGCCUUUUAAUGUCUUUUUGUUGUUGUUGUUGUUGUUGUUGUUUUAAUACAUUUGUCCUGGUGUCCUCUACAAAGGGCAUAGAAUAAUAUAUGAAUAAAAUAUCCUUUUUCAAUUUUUUUUUCCUCCAUUUGUUUCUUAUGCUCCAACCAAUGUAAUGACAUUUAAAAAAAAAAAAAUCACAAAACUAUUUUUAUGGUUCUCAGGAGGAUAAUUGUUUUCUGGAAUUUAUUUAGGGUUAGUUCAGCUGAACAGGUCCAGUUUUCCCAGUUAUCUUCAUAGGAAAAAAAUUAUCCCAAUUUACCAGAAUCAGAGGAUCACAGAGCUCGUGAGCCCAAGUGACACUCCAGCGCGUGGGAUGAAUCGCACUGACGUCACUCAGUGACUCAACCGCUCAUCCUUAGUAAAAGUAACGCGGCUGCAAGUAAAAGCAAUUCCUCUAGUCUCGGCUAAUCAGUAGUUAAGCUCUGAUGGAGGGUAGGCUACCUGUACUAGAUGACGUGGUUACAGGUGCAGAAAGGCUCUAUGGAGCAUUCUUAAAGGAAUUUAAACUGCGCAGUUCUUCCUCGUUAGCUCAUACACGCGAAAAGAUCGUUUUCAGCUCAUCCCACAGCUGUCCAGCAGCUGGGAUUUUUCCUUCAUCCCUGUUGUGGGAUGUAAAAUGAUGUCACUGAUGCUGAUGCAGCCAACAGAAAAGUGCCAUUGGUACCAGUUUGUGAAGAGCUUCUUCCUGAUUGAGCUCAGGAAGAUGAACAGCUGGGAGAACCAAUCAUCAUGGAGAAGAGGUGGUCUUUUAACUCUAUCCCCUGACCAAUAAUCAUGGCUUCAUCAGGGUAAAAAUAUGAUGACACUGACUGAGCAUCAUAUUUCAUGUGUGUAGCGGUUCCCAAGCAGAGCUUGAUCACAUUUUUGGAUUUUCAUCUAGUUUUUAUAUAAUUUAUGAUUUAUGAUGCUGACACGAAUUGUUAGAAUCAUUUAACUCAUUUUAUAUAAGUAAAAUAUGGUGCAAGAAAUUGAUUAUUAUGUAAUAUGGAUUAUUUUUGCAUUGUCCCAUCCAAUUAAAAGCACAUCUCUAAUUUGAUGUUGUUAGUGAUCUGAACAAUCCUAUAACCUGUGUUAAAGUUUAUGUUGUGCUAUGGACAUGGAUGACACUACCUUAAAUUGUGCUGUAUAUUAAUGAGAGGUGUGCGUAGAUGUAUGAUUGUCAAUUAUUUUUAAAUAAUACAAGCAAAUAAUAUCCCAUUGACAUACAAUAAAAAAGAGACUUGACCCA
ensembl:lncRNA